AAUAAAGUCAGCUAAAGAUAAGCUCUUAGGCCCAUACCCUAAAGAUGUUGGUUCAAAUCCUUCCUUUAUUA
rnacentral:tRNA from 1 species